UACGUAGGGUGCAAGCGUUGUCCGGAAUUAUUGGGCGUAAAGAGCUCGUAGGCGGUUUGUCGCGUCUGCUGUGAAAACCCGAGGCUCAACCUCGGGCCUGCAGUGGGUACGGGCAGACUAGAGUGCGGUAGGGGAGAUUGGAAUUCCUGGUGUAGCGGUGGAAUGCGCAGAUAUCGGGAGGAACACCGGUGGCGAAGGCGGUUCUCUGGGCCUGACCUGACGCUGAGGAGCGAAAGCGUGGGGAGCGAACAGG
rnacentral:rRNA from 1 species